rnacentral:tRNA from 1 species
GGACUAGUGGCAUAGUGGUUAAGCGUUUGGCUGCUAACCAAAACGUUGGCAGUUCAAAUCCACCGACCA